rnacentral:rRNA from 1 species
CUACGGGGGGCAGCAGUGAGGAAUAUUGCACAAUGGGGGGAACCCUGAUGCAGCAACGCCGCGUGGAGGAUGACGCAUUUCGGUGUGUAAACUCCUUUUAUAUGUCAAGAAAAUGACGGUAGCAUAUGAAUAAGCACCGGCUAACUCCGUGCCAGCAGCCGCGGUAAUACGGAGGGUGCAAGCGUUACUCGGAAUCACUGGGCGUAAAGGAUGCGUAGGCGGGUUGGAAAGUCAGGUGUGAAAUCCUACAGCUUAACUGUAGAACUGCACUUGAAACUUCUAAUCUAGAGUAUGGGAGGGGGAGAUGGAAUUAGAGGUGUAGGGGUAAAAUCCGUAGAUAUCACUAGGAAUACCUAAAGCGAAGGCGAUCUCCUGGAACAUUACUGACGCUAAGGCGUGAAAGCGUGGGGAGCAAACAGGAUUAGAUACCCCGGUAGUC